UUUAAUUGCCGUUGGAAAAAGCAUCACAUUCAUUGACCGCCUCUCGUCUCUUCUGAGUCGCCUCGAAUUCUCCGGCUGCGACGCCGCCGCCGAUGCCGGCUGCUCAUCGUGGCUUCAGGCGCCGCCGACGUCGAAGCAAUCUCCGUGUUUAUUUAAUCGAUGAGGCGGAAUUCACGUCACCAUCGACCUCUUCACGGACUCGCCGUCUGAUUUCGUUGACACCGAUUCUCGCCGAUCGGUGAGAGGCGCUCCAGGAUCCACUGGGCAGUCGCUGCCGUCGGAGUCUCACUUCGGUCGGUGUCAUACUCCAGCCAUCUCGGCUGCAUCGUCACUGUCAAUUUCGUCGGACUGCUGUGGACUUCGCGGCUUAGGGAAGCUUUAACAGCAAUCUUUCUACUCCCUCAUGGAGAGUUUGUAUCUGGCUGGUGCUUGUCAAACGUCCUACGAAGAGGAUGCACCAUUAGAAUGAGAAGGAUCUGUUUCUCAACAUGUUCAUUCGGUUCAUAGAGGACUAUUAGAAACUGUCAGAUGACAAAGUGUCCACAGUUAGCAAGAACUUAUGUUCACUGUUAAGUCAUGCAGAGUCUUUAGUUCCAGGAUUUUUGAAUGAAGAUGAUGUACAACUGCCUAGGUUAUUUGUAAGUCAGUUUGAGUGCCGAAUCGUUCGUGCUGCAUCGGAAAAUCAUUUAGUCCAUGAGCUUGGGAAGAGGUUGACUGCAGGAGCUUCCUAUAUUGGACUCCCGGCCGUGAUGAAAAAAAAAGGAAUAAGCUUCAUAAAAAGGAAUUUUAAUGCCAGAAAAGGAAGGUAGGAAGGUUUGCUUUCUGCAUUUUGGUAUGUGAGAAGGUACCGGGUUUCCAGCAGGUAGGACAUCCGAGCUUUUAUUGUAGUCGUCAAAUCUUGGUCUUUGCGGAUUCUGGUAACACUUCUUCUCAUCUUUUUCGGGUGUCAUUCAAACCCGUAUAUACUCAACUUGUGAUGUUUCCUACUUAUACAUGGGUGCCUAACUGCUAUUUAUUCUCAUUCAUGCCUGAUAUGUUGAUUUUAUAGAGAAUUUAAAUGUUUUUUUUUGUAAUUGACAUGUUAUGUGAUUAAGAGUAAAUUUCCGAGAGGUUGUCUGCCAUGGCUCUCUAAUAUGUGCAUCUCCCUAGUUUUUAAUGAUUUCAUACACAUCACCAAUUGAUAAACAACGGAUAUUAGCUUCAUAAAUAUUCAAAAAUUGCCCUAGUACUAUGCUACUUGCUAUUUGUGUAUGCAUGCAAGAUCUUCUCUAUAUUGAUUGUCACUACUUUCACCACUUUUUUAUGGGUUAUUAGUGUAGGCUUCAUUUCUCUCAAGGGUUGGUCUGUAAACUUGUUGCUUACUAACUUCUGGAGAACUAGGUUUCCCGUGCUUCAGAUAAAGUGACAAGAGUGUUCUUUGGUGCCCGAUUUCUUGAGCUAAGGAGAGAGAACUAUUCCGGUUUUGAAAAAUUAAUUGAAAAGCCAUAGGGCCGAUCGACUGAAUGAGAGCUUUAUGAGUUGCAAUCUUGUUGACAUUGGUGCAUAAAAAUGAUUUAGGCAAUAGGACAAAAAGCCUCAUAUCCAAAUUAUCACAUGCCUAACCCUACAUAAACCCUUAGUGAGCCAGUUUGAGCCCCAAAAGCCUAAUUUCUUUGUUGAAAAUUUUGAAGUACUAUAUUAGCCUGCUUAUUAUAUCCAUUUUUUGGCCUAUAUUUUCUACCCUAGUCACUAAAAAUAAAAUGCUAGCACAUUCUCUGGAGGGUAUUUAUGGUGGCAAGAAAAAGAUGGAAAUCCUGGAAAAUUCUUGGGAGGGUAUUUAUGGUGGCAAGAAAAAGAUGGAAGUCCUGGAACAUUAGGUGGUAUUCAUUUAUACUGAGAUACAAAGUGAAAAGUUGUGUCUUCAAGCAAAAAUAAAAUAAAAAGGCAGCCUUUAAUGUGUAAAAAAAAUCCAAGGCUAGAAAAAAAAAGGCAGCCUUUCAUGUGUAAAAAAAAGCCAAGGCUAGAAAAAUAAAAGGCAACCUUUCAUGUGUUAAAAAAAAGCCAAGGCUAGUAAAAAAAAUAAAAAUAAAAGGCAGCCUAUGAUGUGUAAAAAAAAAGCCAAAGGCUAGAAAAAAAAGUGAAAAAUAGAAAUCUGCUCAAAAGUAGAAAAAUUCAAGUUUGGGGUGUUGAGCUGUCAGAAUUUUGCACGCAUUGAGUGAGAUGUGAAGGAUGUUGUGAAGGAUGCUAUGAUGGAUGUGCUAGUAUUUUAAGAAUGUGAUAAGCUACUUAACCAAAUAUGAUCACACCUUUACCAAAAGCCCCAUUACAUCCAAAUGAAUAAGACCUUUUGAUUUAUGCAUCAUAUUGACUUGUGAGCGAUGAAUUUUGCUUGAGUUUGGGAGAAAGAUCUUAUGUGCUUAAAAUAAAGAAUAGCCGGAAGAAACUCUCUUUAUGAAUUAGUGACGAUGGUUUGAGACUCCCAAUACAUAAAUCGAACUUACAUUGAAGCAUUGGGAUGCCUAACUCUUAGGGAAUUAGUUCGUGUACAAUUCUUGUUCUAAAGUCUUACCCGCGAGUGAAUUCGGGGUCAACCUAAUUUCUCUAAAUGAUUUGUGUGAUUUGACUUGACUUGAAGUAGAGGAUUAUCUAAUGUUUUGUGAAUGUGCUUAUUUGUCUAACUUGACUUGAAGUAGAACAAGACUUAUGUUUGGGGGUAUUUGAUGUGUGUGGGUAAUUGUUUAACUUGUUAUUAUACAAUGGAUGGAAUGGAGGGUAGCGUACUAUUGCUCCAGUUCAGUUUUGACCAUCUCACUAUUUAUUCCAGUGAGUUGAAGGGUAUAAAGCUGCAACCAAUAUUUACUUCAAUAGUCAAACAUUUAUUUUUAUAAACCUAACUUUAGUUCGAUAUUUAGUGUGUCAUUUCAUACUAAAGCCAUCAAUGAAGAACUAUUGCAAAAUCUUUCUAAUGCUCUAAACUUGUCGGUACCUGAUAAAAUUGGGGUUGUACUUGCGUUGUCUAAAUCUGUAUAACACGAUAUAUUCACUAUGCCUGGAUGUGUGGUUAGUUAUUUUCUUCUUUGUACAUACAUUUAGAUAUAAUUUUAUGUUUAGUUGUAGGAAGUGGAAUACAUACAACAGUUUAUAAUUUUUAUCUCUUUGGGAUUCUUCUACAUGCUGCACUAAACCUGUAACCCUUUUCUUGGUUGUAUGCAGGAAAGACUGUGUUUGAGUUUAGGGUUGUUUGAGUCAGAUCACAGAGCAAUCAUGCUGCGUUUGAGGCUACUGAGAUAAUUCAGCAUAUUCUAGUGUUACUCUUUGCUGUAUUGCAUCUAAAAAAGAAAUCAUGGGCCUUGGAAGCUGGUGGAGCAAUCAAUGAGUGUCAAGUAAAGAUACUUUCUAUAAGGAUCAGUCAUUAAGCAUCAAUGUGUGACUCGCCUUACGUGGGGUAUUGCUUUACGAGCUGUUUUAGAUGCUUUGAGGAAGCCUGCAGAUUCAGAAGUUUGUUCCUUCCUAGUUUAUCAGUUAAUGUUAUUAUUGUGAAUUUCAGUCUUACCUUGGAUUUAUGACAUUCCUUUGGGAGUAUGGCAUUGGAGCAGUUUGUGGACCAUCUCAUUGAGUGGCCACAGUAUGCCAUCAUAUCCUGCACUUUGUAGCAUUUAUAGAUAGGGCACUCAACAGUAUUUCGGCGGCUUAUACUGAACGUGAUGUUGGCCAUACUGCCAAUACUGAUCACCGACACGGUCAUAUUAAAUCUUCAGCUCCACAUAUAGAGAUUGCAGGCCCAUCAUUUUCUCUGAUCGGACCCAGCAGCAAUUGUCUGGAUUAGCAAUUCCCUCUUCGAUCCCACUGCAACAGAGACCACCAAGUUCUCAGAGUUCACUCCUAAUUACAUGAAUCCAUCACAACACACCUACCCUUCCUAAGUCACUCAGUGGUGCUUUGCUGUCAUACAAUCUGCCUCGUCGGAUUUCCAUGGUUUUCUAGAUCAACCUCAGCAAGUAAAUAAUCAGGUUUAACUGUGCUACUCUCUCUCACUGUGCGCUUUAUGGAUUACAUUAACAUGGGGACUGGUUUUACAACUAUGAGAAGAGAAACUCCCAUUGAGGUGAUUGGAUGUAGCUGUCUUAUCAUUUUUAAUUCUCUGUUUACACUUUGUUUCGAUCCUUUUGGUUUUCCUAUGCUUUUACUCUGACGAUUUUCUUCCUUGUUAUGAGUUCGCAAUUACAAGUUCUAUUAAUAGCACAUUUAACUUUAUCCCACUGGUUAACUAAAAUCUCACACUUCUAAAUUCUUUCUUAACUCCCGAUUACUUUCUCGUUUUCCUUUUCCCCUUUUGUUUCUUUAUUAUUUGUUUUCUUCCCUGUGCAAUGGAGGCGCUCUGAUUCUGGUUCAGGCUGUCAUGAACUUAAAGUUAUCGUGCUCAGACAAUAUUUCCUCAUACAUGGCUGUUAUCUCCUGCCUAAAAUCUAAAGCUUUAUCUAUUCUUUUGCAACUCUGUGAAGCUGAAGUGUAUCAUAUACCUGGAUGAGGUGGCCAGCAACACAGCAACUCAGGAUAUGGCAAAGUCAGUUGGACUCGAGGUUCUUGCAUUGCUGAAAAAAGCUUGGUAUAGAUUCAAGACAGUUAAAUGCUCCCUCCGAGGCAAGUUACCGAACAGGCAACUGGAGCUUAAGACAAAGCUCUUGGCAGAUGCCGUCUCAAAUGCUUCAAAUUAUCUGUCAUUCAUCAUGAAUUGUGUUUAGUGUUUGUAUUUUGUGUAUUGUGUAGUGUUUUUUUUGUAUGCAUGUGUAAAGUGUGUUUGCGUAGUGUAGGUAUUUUUGUGUAUUUUGUGUAUAGUUUAUCUAGUGAAGUG